rnacentral:snoRNA from 1 species
AGCCUCCAGAUUCCUUAUCCCUCAGAUCUAAAUAUUGGUCUGAGUGGCUGAAAAUGGACGAAAAGUAAAACCAAAAUGGACUUGGAGUCUUCAGUGGUAACAUCAAAAUCAUGG